AAAUACGUCAGUGUUAACUCUUUUGCUGUGCUAUCCUCUGAAAAGAAAAGGGCCGAUUUACUUAUGAGAAGUUAAAUAAACUGCAAGAUAAUUCAUUAAAAAAGUAAUAUUUGAUUUUGUGAAGUUAAAAGAAACAGUUUGGAUAGUGGAUAAAUGCAAAUUUCUACGUAGAAUGUCCAGCGAAUAAAGACACGCCGUCGUCUGGGUUUUCUGUUUGCGUUGUAGCGAAAAUUCUAUGCGGACGCGCCAUUUUGAAUUUUGUGUAUUCAUGUUUCCAUAUUCUCAAGCGUGUUAAACUGAAAGACCAUAUAACCAUGUGAAGGCCACCGGGAGUAUCUCAGAAAAUAUCAAAACAAAUUAGAAAAAAA